rnacentral:rRNA from 1 species
CCUACGGGAGGCAGCAGUGGGGAAUAUUGCACAAUGGGGGGAACCCUGAUGCAGCGACGCCGCGUGGGUGAAGGAGUAUUUCGGUAUGUAAAGCCCUAUCAGCAGGGAAGAACAAUGACGGUACCUGACUAAGAAGCACCGGCUAAAUACGUGCCAGCAGCCGCGGUAAUACGUAUGGUGCAAGCGUUAUCCGGAUUUACUGGGUGUAAAGGGAGCGCAGGCGGCGCGUUAAGCCUGGUGUGAAAGUCCGCGGCCCAACCGCGGGACUGCAUUGGGAACUGGCGCGCUGGAGUGCCGGAGGAGUAGGCGGAAUGCCUAGUGUAGCGGUGAAAUGCGUAGAUAUUAGGAGGAACACCAGUGGCGAAGGCGGCCUACUGGACGGUGACUGACGCUGAGGCUCGAAAGCGUGGGGAGCAAACAGGAUUAGAUACCCCGGUAGUC